rnacentral:rRNA from 1 species
UACGUAGGGCGCAAGCGUUGUCCGGAAUUAUUGGGCGUAAAGAGCUCGUAGGCGGUCUGUCGCGUCGGAUGUGAAAGCCCGGGGCUUAACCCCGGGUCUGCAUUCGAUACGGGCAGACUAGAGUGUGGUAGGGGAGACUGGAAUUCCUGGUGUAGCGGUGAAAUGCGCAGAUAUCAGGAGGAACACCGGUGGCGAAGGCGGGUCUCUGGGCCGUAACUGACGCUGAGGAGCGAAAGCGUGGGGAGCGAACAGG